UUUAAUGAAAUAGUAAUCAAUACAUAUUAUUAAAUAGAAUGAGAUUUCUUAUCAGACUGUAUAUCUAACAGAAAAAUCUUCUGAAUUCAUAUUUAACUUUUCUUAGAUAUCAACUAACUUGCCCUCAUAUUGUUUUUUUAAAUAAAUAACACAUGUUUUACUAACUAUUAAAUUAUUUAGAGUUUUAUCGUGCAGAGGAAUGUUAUAGUAAGUAAUCUGAUUUUACUUAACAGUUAUGAAAAAUAAAUUACUUAGAGCUCUAGUUCUCAGUACAAUAAUAUGUUAAUUGAUGACCUACUAAUUUUUAAUUAUUUAAAAUUAAUAUGAAGUGGAAAAUAACAAAUCACAAUAAUCUGAAAAUUGUGUGGAAGAACUUAAGAAAAUGUUAUCGAAUUAUAUUCAGUUGAAAAUUCAUAAAAAUUGUAUAUAUAUAUAAGAUUUAUAUCCAAGAUUUUAAAAUUUAAUCGAAGGUUCCUCCCAAGUUUUACAUCAGAGCGACUUAAUCUUACUAGCUUUUUUUAAUAUAAUCUGAAUUUAUUACUAGUUCGCAUACAAUUUGUUGCGACGUGUCAGUUAAGGUUAAAAUUAUGAUUAUCUCUAUGUAUAAAUUAAUGUUACUUUAACAAAAAUCAAAGCAGUGCCGAAACAAUUUGAGUUAUUGAAUUUAAAUUUUGAGGAUGGAUUAAUAUUCUAAUGUCGAGUUCCAUUAAGAAAGGAUUUUUCAAAACUUAGAUUUUAAAGGGUCCAAAAAAAAUGGUUAACAUACAAAGUGUAUACCUAUAUAUACAUAUUUUACGGCACGACGACCUGUGGGUUUCUAUAGCGACAUGCAAAAAUAUAUUUUCGUCCGUCUAACUACGUGUUUGAUCGGGGUGUAGAUGUGAAUUGUUAUGAGAACUAGAACUCUACAAUCUAUCUACAUUUGUCUAUGUAUAUAAUUAUAAAUCCCUAUUUCCCUUAUUCGAGGCAUCACGCUCAUCGCUAAUCAUUUAAAACAGAUAAAUCUAUCUUCUAUUUACGAUAUACAACAGUUAAUAUAUAAUUUCUUAGUGAUCAUUUUGCAGUGGAUGCAACCGGAAAAUUAAUGAAGAAUUUCACAAUGGGUUUUUUGAUAAGUGUUUGUUCAUCACGGUUAUUGAAAACAAUCAUGCUUAAAUCUUAAACAAACUUACAUCACCCGCGGGCCUCCGCGUAAUUCAACAUUGGAAUUUAAUUAAUAACUAAUUUUUCGAGCAAUUUUCUGAUUUAAGACGUAAUAUAUAUAAUACGAAGAGGAAAAUAUUGCCAACAUUUCUAGUAUCACUGCUGAAUGAAGUUCAUACAAUGCUGUUAACAAAAAUCUAAGCUAAAGUCAUAUUAGGAUUAUAAACAUCUUUAUCGAAAUCUAUAUGAUUUUUGCUAAUGUUACAUAUACUUAUUUUAAUUGGCUAACUUUUUUUAUAUUCAUAACUAUACGAUUUUAUAUAAACUUAGAGCAAUAUGUGUGAUCGCCGAUGGAGCUCUUAAUGCACAGUUAGCCCCAAAGACUCGUACUUACAAGUAGGAUGGUAAAACUAUAAAUAAAAGGAACUCAAAUUUGAUGGUAUGAUAAUGAUGAUAUAAUAAUAUGUAUUAAAUAAUUCAUAAAAAUUGGGGUGGACGUCUCCACAGUAACACUAAUAAUAAUAAACGCCGGCAAACACAGGGCUUGCGUACGUAUACAAGUAACAAAUUACAAUAAAUUAUAAUAAAACCGUAACUAGGUCACGGGGACACGUAAAUUAAACAAUAAUAAUAACAAAUAAUGAUGAUACGACCGUGAUAUGUGUGAAGAUAAUGAAUAAUUGAUAACUCAAUUCCACCAACCAGUCGACCAGUAGUACCGCGAUAUUGGAUGUUGACAGGUCCAACGAUACUUGUUCGAUGACGACAGCGUUGAACCGGUCGGUUUCGACCACGAGCAAAACCACGUGAUAAUUUAAAUAACGGACGCACUAUAUUGCACGGUGCACUGUGCUGACUUCAGUCUAAAAGACAGCCGAAUCGGACUUAACCCAUACAGCCAUUUCAUGAGUAACUCGUGCAGUCGUGCACAGUAUUACGAUCGCAACGACGCACGGGCUCGAUAUGCCGUGGUAACGCCAAAACGCACGCGAGAACAACACUUAGGUACGCGGCAGUGCGGCUACGAACUUGCCGGACGUACGGCGAGAGAGGCGACAACAGACAGAAAAGCGCCGACGCCGGACACACGACGGGCGGCUCGAACGGACAUCAGACGCAACACGGACGCCGUCGGCGUCCGUCGGUUCGCGCCGCCGGUGACAUUACGCGUACUUAUCUAUCAACCGCUGUUAUCGGCUGAAGCGCGGAUUGGGUACAUCAUUAUUGUUUACGGAGACGGCCCGACAUACGAGUCGCGAACAAUGUGUAUAAGCUCAAACUUUGAAGGGAAGUUUCGAAGAUAUUACAUGGUCGGAAGUUCUAAAUGGAAUUAUCCAUUCGUUUAUCUUCUACAAUGUAAUGAUAUCAUUGAAUUCAAAUUUCAUAACAUCUUUAACAGCGACCUCUUAGACACCUACUGUAAAAAAAGGCCACAGUCACUUACAAGCUUUUUUUUUUUAAGCUCCAGAGAUUUAUCUAUCAACAAAGAAAUUUUGUAAUGCAUACAGGAAGAAUGAAAAUUUGUAAUAUGAUCCAGUGGUUUCUAAAAGUAGAGGUUUCAAUUGCUUCAGAUAUACUUUCUACUUCAUCUGAAUAUUAUAUUGAUUUUUUGUUUUCGGAAAUAAAUCUUAUUAUUAUAUAACUUAGCUACAUGAUAAUUAUCUAAAUGCAGCUGUUAUAUUUAUUAUGACAGUAAUGUUUGUGUAAAUUACUGAUUCAUUGUCAUCACUCACCGUACUUUUAUGAGUACCUACUUUUACUGUAUUAUUAUUUAUUAUUUUUUUGAAAUAUU